AGUAGUUUGACUCCUGGCUACAGGACGACGCUGGCGGCGUGCUUAACACAUGCAAGUCGAACGGUGAAGCAGGAGCUUGCUCUUGUGGAUCAGUGGCGAACGGGUGAGUAACACGUGAGUAACCUGCCCUUGACUCUGGGAUAAGCGUUGGAAACGACGUCUAAUACUGGAUAUGACCCUCAGCCGCAUGGUUAGGGGGUGGAAAGAUUUUUUGGUCAAGGAUGGACUCGCGGCCUAUCAGCUUGUUGGUGAGGUAAUGGCUCACCAAGGCGACGACGGGUAGCCGGCCUGAGAGGGUGACCGGCCACACUGGGACUGAGACACGGCCCAGACUCCUACGGGAGGCAGCAGUGGGGAAUAUUGCACAAUGGGCGCAAGCCUGAUGCAGCAACGCCGCGUGAGGGAUGACGGCCUUCGGGUUGUAAACCUCUUUUAGUAGGGAAGAAGCGAAAGUGACGGUACCUGCAGAAAAAGCACCGGCUAACUACGCG
rnacentral:rRNA from 1 species